ensembl:snRNA U6 U6 spliceosomal RNA
GUGCUUACUUUGGAAGCACAUAUACUAAAAUUGGAACAGUACAGAGAAGAUUAGCAUGGCCUCUGCACAAGGAUGAUAUGCAAAUUUGUGAAGCAUUCUAUAUUUUU